rnacentral:rRNA from 1 species
AUCAAUAAGCGGAGGAAAAGAAAACAAACGUGAUACCCCCAGUAAUGGCGAACGAAAAGGGUGAAGCCCAACGCAAAGGCUUGUCGAGCUUGAUUGCUUGAUGAGCGAUGCUGCGUGUGAGCUAAUUGCUUGAGUUUAGAGUGUACGCUGGCAUGUGUUCAAACGAACGAUCUAAUAGUUGGCCAUAGAGGGUUAAAGCCCCGUAUGGACAUUCUAAGCCCAGCGUGUGCUAGUACAAAGGCAUUAGCUUGAGAGUAGGGUUGCUUGAGAGUGCAGCUUGAAGUAGGAGGUAUGCAUCUCCUAAGGCUAAAUAUCACUGCGAGACCGAUAGCAAACAAGUAGUGUGAACGAAAGUUGAAAAGAACUUUGAAGAGAGAGUCCAAAGAGCGUGAAACCACUAGUAGGGAAGCGGAGAUUAUCCCGAAUUGGCGUUUCAUUUGUGUGGUGCAUUAGUGUUUGAGAUGGUUGAUUGUAGUCUAAGUUUGGUUCGCCAAAUGUAAAUUGCAAUCAAUUUAAUUUCAGCUAAUGUGCUACAAAGCACAAAUGUUGCUAGUAUCCUGUCUUCUUCUGUAACUUCAUAGUUUUGUUGAUCGCUUAAACUCACUCAUUGGGGGAGUUUGGUUAAGAUUGACAAUUUAGGUUAUUUAUUGAUCUUGCAUUCAGUCAGAUGCUACGGUGUUUGUCUGKUUUGUGAGGCUAAAACCUCUAUGUUAAAAGUAUGAGGAGAAAAGGCAUUUUAUGGAUAUAAGUAGAUCGAUAAAUCUCUGCCCCGUCUUGAAACACGGACCAAGGAGCCUAGCGUGUACGCAAGUCUCUUAGUACUUUAGUAGACUAGGUGGCGUAACGAAAGCAAUAAAUACUAUUCUGUACAAGUUUAGUAUAGCUACGAUGUUGUAUUGAGUUUCGAUACGAUAGCAGUAGCAAUGCGAUUCUUAUGAGUCGUAUUAGAGCGUAUACGGUAGUACCCGAAAGAUGGUGAUCUAUGCUUGAGCAAGGUGAAGCCAAAGGAAACUUUGGUGGAGGCCUGCAGCAGUUUUGACGUGCAAAUCGAUUGUCAGACUUGAGUAUAGCGGCGAAAGACUAAUCGAACCAUCUAGUAGCUGGUUUCCUCCGAAAUUUCCCGCAGGAUAGCAAGCGUAUGUUAUACUCAUUUAAACCUGUUACAGUCUCAAUAGAAGGUAACGGGGCGUUAAUUGACCUUGUCCUUUUCUUAAACUCGGUCAAUGGGUUUUUGAACGAUUACAAGCUAACUGCUUGUAAUUAGUUUAGUUUAAUGGUUUACGCUUAGUGGGCCAUUUUUGGUAAGCAGAACUGGCGAUGCGGGAUGAACCGUACACAGAGUUAAGGUGCCUAAGUUUGAAUAUACGCUAAUCAGAUCCCACUAAAGAUGUUGUUCGCUUAAGACAGUAGGGCGGUGGCCAUGGAAGUCGGUAUCCGCUAAGGAGUGUGUAACAACUCACCUACCGAAGCGUUCAACUCUGAAAAUGGAUGGCGCUCAAGCGUUACACUGACACUCUGUCGUAGUAGUAAAUCCGCAAGAGCAAGUUUGUUUUCAAAUGCAAACUUGUAUUAGACUUCUACGAGUAGGAGAGAAUGUGGUGAUAGCGUUGAAGCUUUGAGUGUAAACUCGAGUGGAGCUGUUACUAGUACAGAUCUUGGUGGUAGUAGCAAACAAACAAGUGACAACCUUGUUGACCGACGUGGAUACGGGUUCCAUGGGAACAGUAAUUGGCCAUGGGUUAGUCGAUCCUGAAGAGUGACGUGAAAACGUUUUCGUAAGAAGCGACUCUCGAUUAGUUGCACUCUGAAAGGGAAUAAGAUUAAUAUUUCUUAACCUCGUUCGUGCUUAGUUUAAAGCGGUAACGCAAUCGAACUCAGAGACAUCAGCCAAAGUCCUGAGUAGAGAUAUCUUCUCUACUUUAAGGUGUGCUCAAAGUGCCUUGAAUCAGUUUAGCUGGAGACAGGCAUGUAGGCGCCGAAUAGCAUUGCGCUUCUCGUAAUGUGAAAACCCUGACGGGACAGUGUACUUUGGUUGUUCCUUGAAAAUCUGGGGGAGUAUUUUUAAGGCACGGCGAGAUCGUACCUAGAUCCGCAACAGGUAUCCUAGGUGAACAGCCUCUGGUCUAUUAGAAGAAUGUAGGUAAGGGAAGUCGGCAAAAAUGAUCUGUAUCUUUGGUACAAAGGUUGGCUCUGGCGUGUUUGUCAAUUGUGCGYUAGUUAGUACAUUGGAGCAAGUUUUACUUGAACUGGUGAUUGAGCAAUCGAUCUGCUGGCGCUUGUUUAACGGCUCUGAUCGAACACUUUCGUGUGGUUGGCAAUUAAAACAAUUAGUCAGAACUAUCAUUGACUAUUCGGAAUCUGACUGUUUAAUUAAAACAUAGCAUUGAGAUGACCGGUGACCCGGUGUUGACUCAAUGUGAAUUCUGCCCAGUGCUCUGAAUGUCAACGUGUAGAAAUUCAAUGAAGCGCGGGUAAACGGCGGGAGUAACUAUGACUCUCUUAAGGUAGCCAAAUGCCUCGUCAUCUAAUUAGUGACGUGCAUGAAUGGAUUAACGAGAUUCCAUCUGUCCCUACUUACUAUCUAGCGAAACCACAGCCAAGGGAACGGGCUUGGCGAGAUCAGCGGGGAAAGAAGACCCUGUUGAGCUUGACUCUAGUCUGGCAUUGUGAGGAAACUGUAUCUGGUAUAGCAUAGGAGGGAGGCAGUUCUCGGACUGUCGUUAUCAACUGUAAAACCUCCACAGUACAGCACCACUCACUGACUUAGUUAUGAGGCUUACUUUGUGAUCGCCUUKUWGGCAGAUUGCAAAGGAACUUUGUAAAUGUAAAUUAAGUCUGGUAUUGUAGCAGGUUCACGCCUGUUGCGUUAAAAUACCGUCGAGGCAUUAUCUAAGGACAGUGCCAGGCGGGGAGUUUGACUGGGGCGGUACAUCUAUCAAAUGCUAACGUAGGUGUCCUAAUGUUAGCUCAGUGAGACCAGAAAUCUCACGUAGAAUAUAAGGGUACAAGCUGGCUUGAUUCUGAAUAUCAGUACAAUUGCGAGACAAGAAAUUGUGGCCUAACGAUCCUUUUGAAAAGCGAAAUACUAUCAAUGCAUAAUACAAGAGGUGUCAGAAAAGUUACCACAGGGAUAACUGGCUUGUGGCGGCCAAGCGUUCAUAGCGACGCCGCUUUUUGAUCCUUCGAUGUC